UACGUAGGGGGCAAGCGUUGUCCGGAUUCAUUGGGCGUAAAGAGCUCGUAGGCGGCUUGGCAAGUCGGGUGUGAAAACUUCAGGCUCAACCUGGAGCGGCCACUCGACACUGCCAUGGCUAGAGUCCGGUAGGGGACCACGGAAUUCCUGGUGUAGCGGUGAAAUGCGCAGAUAUCAGGAGGAACACCGGUGGCGAAGGCGGUGGUCUGGGCCGGAACUGACGCUGAGGAGCGAAAGCGUGGGGAGCGAACAGG
rnacentral:rRNA from 1 species